GACAGAGGAUGCAAGCGUUAUCCGGAAUGAUUGGGCGUAAAGCGUCUGUAGGUGGCUUUUUAAGUCCGCCGUCAAAUCCCAGGGCUCAACCCUGGACAGGCGGUGGAAACUACCAAGCUGGAGUACGGUAGGGGCAGAGGGAAUUUCCGGUGGAGCGGUGAAAUGCGUGAGAUAUCGUAAGGAAGACCAGUGGCGAAGGCGGAUCUCUGGACAGCUACUGACACUGAGGCACGAAGGCCAGGGGAGCAAACGGG
rnacentral:rRNA from 1 species